GUGUGUGAUCAUACCAGCGUUUAUGCAUCGGAUCCCAUCAGAACUCCGCAGUUAAGCGAAUUUGGGCCAGAGUAGUACCGGGAUGGGUGACCUCCCGAGAAGUCCUAGUGUUGCACCCU
rfam:Picea glauca, whole genome shotgun sequence.